AGAGCACAGUUCGUACUACAGGCAGGCCAGUCUAGUACCCGCACUCUUUUACUACGAAGCCACGCUGUUGUAACACGUGCAGAAUGUGGCUCGGCGAUAUCUUACUGAAAUAAGCAGGGGCGGCCAUGAAAAAGACGUCGCUUGGAUGGCAACUUUUGUUGCUCCAAAACCUGUAUGUACCUUUCAGCAUUAAUGGUGCCUUCACAAACGUGUAAGUUACCCACUAAUACACCCCCAUAUCAUCAAUCUUUAUUGCAGACCUUAAGAUCCAUUUAAACAUAUAAAAACAGAAUAUAAUACAUUAAAAAACAAAACAAUAAAAACAUACAUUAAAAACAAAACAAAACAAGUUUUCCAUACAAUUACAGACGCUGGGUUUUCAACUUUGCGCCUAGAACAAUCCGGAUGGUUCUUUUCCUCUUUGGACCGGAGGACACGACGUCCACAGUUUCCAAAAACAAUUUGAAAUGUGGACUUGUCAGACCACAGAACACUUUUCCAGUUUGCAUCAGUACAUCUUAGAUGAGCUCGGGCCGAGCGAAGCCGGCGGCGUUUCUGGGUGUUGUUGAUAAAUGGCAUUCGCUUUGCAUUGUAGAGUUUUAACUUGCACUUACAGAUGUAGCGACGAACUGUAGUUACUGACAGUGGUUUUCUGAAGUGUUCCUGAGUCCAUGUGGUGAUAUCCUUUACACACUGAUGUCGCUUUUUGAUGCAGUACCAACACAAAUACAACUUUGAAACUACGUGCUUUCUGAGAACAUUACCGUAGUAACUAGUAUAUCAUGCAAAAGCGCAGAUUCCAACCAAUCAGUCCAUCUUAGAUGAGCUCGGGCCGAGCGAAGCCAGCGGCGUUUCUGGGUGUUGUUGCAUUUAUCAACAACACCCAGAAACGCAGAGUUUCGAGGACGAAAAUGAAUUGAUACCAUUUUAGAAUAAGGCGGUAACAUAGCAAAAUGUGGCAAAAAAUGAAGCGCUGUGAAUACUUUCCGGAUGCAGUGUACAGUAUAAAGGGCAGAUCAAUAGAAGUGAUAAUUAGACGUUGCAGUUCAUGGGUGGGAUGUGAGAGAGGGUCACUGCCUGAGGAUACAGACGAGCUGUUGGCAAGUUGUCCUGGCACGUAUAGACCUGUUCCUUCUACCUGAGGGCCGCAGGUGAGGAGCAGGGUGUUGUUGGUCACGCAGGAUGCUGUGCACUCGCCUCAGACAGCAGGUAGUGUAGACUGUGCCCAUCUCUGGAAGACUUGAUUUUUUUUCAGCUGUUUUAAUCACCGAUUAGAGAGUCUGCUGUCAUGGCACACUUAUAAAAGCUCACUCUUACACUAGGAAGCAUGAGUCAUUCAUUGCGCUUUACCUGACACAUGAAACGUGACAAAUACGAUCGCUGAGAUGAAAGGGAUCAGGCCCGUGAACAGGUUCUAUCCGGAUGAAUUUGCUAAGUAUACAAAUGAGCUGAAAUUUUUCUAUGAAAGAAACUGCUGUUUUAAAUGUGUCCACUAGAUGUGGCAAUGGCAAUUCUUUGUAUCUUUGUAGAUGAUGCUACAUACAGUAUGUACAAAAAAAUAAAACACAUGAUGUUAGUGCAACAGUCGAAGAAAAUUAGCAAACUACAUAAAUAACAUCCUGUAAUUUGAUUUUGAUAUAUUUUUUUUUAUCUUGUUAGAUUGAAAAUGAACACCAAUGAGUUGACUGAUGAACAUUAUCACGUCAUUUAUUCAGAAAGUAUAAAUAACGACAAUUAAAGGUAGAACACUAUUAACUGCAACAUGUAAGUGUAAAAAAAACAACACGAUUUGUUUAUUUUUGAGAAAUUCUAUUUUUAAACAAAGAAAACAAUCUGAAGUUGUCUUUAUUUUUAAGUUAUCGUGCCGUGAUUUUACCAGUCCGGCCCACUUGGGAGUAGAUUUUUCUCAAUGUGGCCCCCGAUCUAAAAUGAGUUUGACACCUCUGGCCUAGAUAAAUUGGUAAACAUCCUCACAAAUAUUGAUAUAAAGCAUUACCGUAUUUUCCGGACCAUAGGGCACACCGGAAUAUAAGGAGCACUGCCGAUGAAUGGUCUAUUUUUGAUCUUUUUUUCAUAUAUAAGGCGCACCGGAUUAUAAGGCGCAUUAAAGGAGUCAUAAUAUAUAUAUUUUUUUCUAAAUGUAAAAGACUUCCUUGGGGUCUACAAAACAUGUAAUGGUGGUUCUUUGCUCAAAAUGUUGCAUAGAUGAUGUUUUACACAUCAUCUUCAAGCCGCUUCCGGGUGCGCCGUUUUGUGGGCGGUCUUAUUUACGUGGCUCACCUUCGGCAGCGUCUUCUCCCCGUCAUCUUUGUUGUGAAGUGUCAAAAGAUGGAGCUAACUGUUUUAAUGACAUUCAGACUUUACUUCAAUCAAUAACGGAGCAGCAUCUCCUCAUCCAGAAACAACAACACCAGAAAUGUGUCCCGUGAAAAACCGUCCGACCAGAACUCUAAUAACUAAAGUUCCUUGGGUGAAUAAUGGUAACUCACUACACCGGUAUGUUUUAGGGCUUUCAUGGCGAGUUUACUGACUGAAAUAAGUAAUAACUUUACACUGCUUUUUAUUAGAAAUGGCAACAGCAGAGGAUGGAUGUCCCAUAACAAGAAGGUGGAGAAAAAGAAGAAGCUUAUCGACUACGGUGUCGGCACGGACUACAAAGGCGGACCUGCACAAAUUUUCAGGUACCAGAAGAAGGUGUACGGCCCGAUGUAGAUGGAGAGUCUGAGGGCGGAGCUGCUCUGGUAGCUGCCCUGGUAGCUGAGCAGCGGGUUGACGGACACCAUCUCCAGGUCCAGCGUGUACUCCCUGGGUCCUGAGACGGCCCGGGCCAGGACCAGCAUGGCGCUGAUGUUGUUGAUUUGCUGCAAACGGGGAAAGUCGCCGUUGUCGUCGCCCGAGCGGAUCCUGAAGGUGUUGUACGCUCCCGGGGACACGCUGGUGGCCUGGAUCUGGAAGAUGUCCGAGGGCACGGAGCGCUCCGAGGUGAUGCUCAUGUAGCGGUGGACGAUGGAGAAAGAUCCAUUAAGGUCGAGGAAAAAAACCGACACACCACUUUUUGUCACUGGGGAACCCAAAGAUGCACUUUCUUAAAGUGACACACACACAUGGAGGAA